UACAGAGGUCUCAAGCGUUGUUCGGAUUCAUUGGGCGUAAAGGGUGUGUAGGUGGCGCGCUAAGUCGGGUGUGAAAUUUCGGAGCUUAACUCCGAAACUGCAUUCGAUACUGGCGUGCUUGAGGACUGGAGAGGAGACUGGAAUUUACGGUGUAGCAGUGAAAUGCGUAGAGAUCGUAAGGAAGACCAGUGGCGAAGGCGGGUCUCUGGACAGUUCCUGACACUGAGGCACGAAGGCCAGGGGAGCAAACGGG
rnacentral:rRNA from 1 species